GAUGAACGCUGGCGGCGUGCCUAAUACAUGCAAGUCGAGCGAACAGACGAGGAGCUUGCUCCUUUGACGUUAGCGGCGGACGGGUGAGUAACACGUGGAUAACCUACCUAUAAGACUGGGAUAACUUCGGGAAACCGGAGCUAAUACCGGAUAACAUUUUGAACCGCAUGGUUCAACAGUGAAAGACGGUCUUGCUGUCACUUAUAGAUGGAUCCGCGCCGCAUUAGCUAGUUGGUAAGGUAACGGCUUACCAAGGCAACGAUGCAUAGCCGACCUGAGAGGGUGAUCGGCCACACUGGAACUGAGACACGGUCCAGACUCCUACGGGAGGCAGCAGUAGGGAAUCUUCCGCAAUGGGCGAAAGCCUGACGGAGCAACGCCGCGUGAGUGAAGAAGGUCUUCGGAUCGUAAAACUCUGUUAUUAGGGAAGAACAUAUGUGUAAGUAACUAUGCACGUCUUGACGGUACCUAAUCAGAAAGCCACGGCUAACUACGUG
rnacentral:rRNA from 1 species